AGUGAACGCUGGCGGUAGGCCUAACACAUGCAAGUCGAACGGCAGCACAGUAAUAGCUUGCUCUUACGGGUGGCGAGUGGCGGACGGGGGAGGAAUACAUCGGAAUCUACGUUUGCGUGGGGGAUAACGUAGGGAAACUUACGCUAAUACCGCAUACGACCUACGGGUGAAAGCAGGGGAUCUUCGGACCUUGCGCGAGUGAAUGAGCCGAUGUCGGAUUAGCUAGUUGGCGGGGUAAAGGCCCACCAAGGCGACGAUCCGUAGCUGGUCUGAGAGGAUGAUCAGCCACACUGGAACUGAGACACGGUCCAGACUCCUACGGGAGGCAGCAGUGGGGAAUAUUGGACAAUGGGCGCAAGCCUGAUCCAGCCAUACCGCGUGGGUGAAGAAGGCCUUCGGGUUGUAAAGCCCUUUUGUUGGGAAAGAAAAGCAGCAGGUUAAUACCCCGCUGUUCUGACGGUACCCAAAGAAUAAGCACCGGCUAACUUCGUG
rnacentral:rRNA from 1 species